rnacentral:misc_RNA from 1 species
UUAAAUUUUAAAUAGUUGAGCAAUGUAUAAUAUCAUCAAGAACAGUUGCAGCUACUAAAAUAACUAUGGAAAUGAGCCCCACCAUGUAAUUUUUAAUUUGGGAACGUAAAUAAUGCUUGGUUGGUAGGUGCUUCUGCAGUAUUUCGAUUUAUCUUCCUUGAAACUCCUAUAUUCACUUCCUUGCUUAGCUGGUUCAGUGUAAAGGGUACUAUUUUGACAUUCCCAACUUUGAUUUUUCAAACUUCCAGUACUAUAUAAGAGCAAGCUUGCUCGUCAAUUGUAUUCAUUUACCAAAUUUCCUAUCUUCUUUUCAAUACAACUUCACAGAAAGGGCAGUUCUGCUGGUGAGGAUUUCCUUACUUUUCUUUUUCAGCGUCAUUUGGAUGUUGCUUACAGUGUUACAGAUUUUUUUUCCCAUAAUUGAGUAAUUGUGUUUUAGAAAUGAAAAAUUCUUCGAACAACUGAUGUAUUAAUUCUUUCCAGCCCAAUUUCACCAUCAUUUUUAGCAUUAUUCUUAUUCAAAAUCAAAUUUGGUCUAACCUUGAUUAUAUCAGACUAAAAGUUAAAAGCUUAUUGGCAGGUUGACCGUUCUGAUAUUACUCACCAAAGUCUUUGGGUGAAUGGGUCUUUCUCUUUCUCUGUUCUUAUCCGCGUGGAAUGAAAUCCUCUGGCUAAAGUUGUUUGGUUUGAUAGACACCAUUGACAAGGUUACAGUGAAGUCCUCAAGCUUGGAAAGAAAAGGAGAUUCAGAAACCACAAAUAACAAGUCUGGUGGGUCAGAUACAAUGAGGUUAGAGAGGUCGUUGAGCUUCAAGCACUGGGAUUCCAAUCAAGAAAAUGUUGAAGCGCCUGAUUUAUCUAAAAAUUUGGAUAAUGCUCAAGAAACAAUCCGCAUAACAAAACCCACAAUAAUAAUCCCAGAACCAGUUCUCUUCUUUUCUCCAAGACCCGUUAGUGAGCUUGAUGCUGCUGCAACUAAGCUUCAAAAAGUUUAUAAGAGUUAUCGGACUAGAAGAAAUCUUGCAGAUUGUGCAGUUGUGGUUGAAGAGCUCUGGUGGAAGGCCUUAGAUUUUGCAGCUCUGAAAAGGAGCUCAGUAUCAUUCUUCAACGUUGAGAAACAUGAAACUGCUGUGUCAAAGUGGGCAAGGGCUACCACAAGGGCAGCCAAGGUUGGGAAGGGUUUGAGCAAGGAUGAGAAAGCUCAAAAGUUAGCCCUGCAACACUGGCUUGAAGCUAUUGAUCCACGCCAUCGUUAUGGACACAAUUUACAUUUGUAUUAUGAUGUUUGGAGUAAUAGCAAGAGCACUCAACCUUUCUUUUACUGGUUGGACAUUGGUGAUGGGAAGGAAGCAAACCUGGAGAAGUGUCCAAGGACUGUUCUACAACACCAAUGCAUCAAAUAUCUUGGACCAAAAGAGAGGGAAACAUAUGAAGUAACCGUGGAGGAUGGGAAGCUCUUGUACCGCCAAACUGGAUCGCUUAUUAAUACGACUGGAGGUUCUAAGUGGAUUUUUGUGCUGAGCACGUCAAGAGCAUUGUAUGUGGGGCAGAAGAAGAAAGGUGCUUUUCAGCACUCAAGUUUCCUAUCUGGGGGAGCUACAAUAGCUGCUGGAAGAUUGGUAGCCACUGAUGGGGUUCUUGAGGCAAUAUGGCCAUAUAGUGGUCACUAUCUCCCGACUGAGGACAAUUUUAAAGAAUUCAUCAGUUUCCUUGAGGAGCAUAACGUGGACUUGGCAAAUGUCAAGAGGUGUGCAGUAGAUGAUGAUGAUGCUUCAUCUAAGAUAGCCGGCGACGAGUCCAAGUCAAUGAUAGAGGAGAAGAAGGGUCAACUAGACACAAAAGCUGUUGAGGUCAAUAUAUCUAUAAAUUCUACAAGCAACAAUAAUCAAGAAGAAAGUAGAGGAGCUCCAGCAGCCGAAUUUGAAGCACCAGUAAUAUUUGACGCGACCAAGAGGUUGUCAUGCAAGUGGACAAGUGGGGUUGGUCCUAGAAUUGGGUGUGUGAGGGACUACCCACCAGAGCUGCAAUCUCGGGCACUCGAGCAAGUCAACUUAUCGCCUAGGGUCAGCCCUGGCCACUAUCCAAUCUGUGUUCCAAUCCCUUCACCGCGGCCUAGCCCGAAGUUUCGAGUCUCGCCUAGACUUGCGUAUAUGGGUCUCCCCAGCCCGAGGGUACCAGUUAGCUCUGCAAGUUAGAUAGGGAGAUGACUAUGAGCUGGCUUUUCUUAAUAUAGGAAAUUAACCAAUUAUCUUUGUUUUUUCAUUAAUAGUUAACUUGAUCCUAUUUUUGUACAUGAAUGAGCUAUGCAAUGAAUAAAUAUAAUAUUAUCAUUGCAAUGGAGAAACUAUGAAGGAUUCUUGAACUAAUGUGAGAGACAAUUGCAAACUUUAGUAUUUGCUACCUAGUAAUAUGAUAUAAAGAGUGGUUGAACCUUGAGUCCUUGACUAUUGAAUCCAGAUGCAACAAGCUUGUGUUGAGUCUCCUCUAUUUUCUUAGGAAUUUUGAUUGGAAAGUUCAUUUUGGGCUUUUGCCCUUGGGCUACGGAAUACAACAAACUGCUCGAUUUAGUGCCUGUUUAUCAUUGAAGUUGGAGGGAGAAUUAUUUUUCAAGAAAAA